rnacentral:rRNA from 1 species
GGAUAGGUGGGAGGCUUUGAAGUGUGGACGCCAGUCUGCAUGGAGCCGGCCUUGAAAUACCACCCUUUAAUGUUUGAUGUUCUAACGUGGACCCGUAAUCCGGGUUGCGGACAGUGUCUGGUGGGUAGUUUGACUGGGGCGGUCUCCUCCUAAAGAGUAACGGAGGAGCACGAAGGUUGGCUAAUCCUGGUCGGACAUCAGGAGGUUAGUGCAAUGGCAUAAGCCAGCUUGACUGCGAGCGUGACGGCGCGAGCAGGUGCGAAAGCAGGUCAUAGUGAUCCGGUGGUUCUGAAUGGAAGGGCCAUCGCUCAACGGAUAAAAGGUACUCCGGGGAUAACAGGCUGAUACCGCCCAAGAGUUCAUAUCGACGGCGGUGUUUGGCACCUCGAUGUCGGCUCAUCACAUCCUGGGGCUGAAGUAGGUCCCAAGGGUAUGGCUGUUCGCCAUUUAAAGUGGUACGCGAGCUGGGUUUAGAACGUCGUGAGACAGUUCGGUCCCUAUCUGCCGUGGGCGCUGGAGAACUGAGGGGGGCUGCUCCUAGUACGAGAGGACCGGAGUGGACGCAUCACUGGUGUUCGGGUUGUCAUGCCAAUGGCACUGCCCGGUAGCUAAAUGCGGAAGAGAUAAGUGCUGAAAGCAUCUAAGCACGAAACUUGCCCCGA